rnacentral:lncRNA from 1 species
GCUUGUGUAGGUUGAUGAUACCAGCUUAUACAUCAUGGGGCCUAUUUUUGUCUAUAAGAAAACAUCUUCAUUCCUGAACUCCAUGGAAAUAAAGACAUCUAGAUGGGUCACUUCACAGUCUACUAACCUAUCAAAAUAAUGGAACUAGUUAUCACUUUUUGCCAGGCCCAAAUCCAGAUAUAACUGGGCCGAAGAUCCUUAAGGGCUUCUGCUUCACAGACAUUCAGAUGUCUCAUUAUCCCUUCUUUUUGGAGCAUAGGAUCAUCUCUGGCAUAGAAAAUGGAAGGAUGACCAACUAAGCUUACUAACAUGGGCACCCUUUGCGCCCAUAUGCAUGUGGUGGGGAGGAGAAUGGGGGAUACAUUUACGACCUAAUUGCUUGGUAAAGGUGACACAUUCUAAGCUACCCACCAACACACUAACCCGACAGUGGGCAUAUUCCAGUAAACUUUGUGACACUUGGCAUCAGUCUUGGUUGCUCAUCUGCAGCAUUGAUGAGUCUUCUAAUUGGCUGCUGCCAUCAUUGGAAACCUUCACAAUCAUACCCUCCAGUUUUGAAUGCUCACCAGCUUGGCAGUAAUUAGAUAAAUUAGCCUUCUGAGAAUCACAUCCAACCUAGAUGUAAAAUCGAGAAAUUACAUCUGAUAAUAAGAUCAAUACCUUGAGGUCUAACAGUAGAAGCCACGACCAGGUAGCUAGAAGAUAAAAUCAUCAUUGACUUCCCAAUUCAUUCUGUGCAUGAUCCCAAUGUGGCCACUGCAUCUCCAGCUUUAUCAGUCAUGGCCUCAUUCAAUAUGCUUGGUGGGAACCAUCUGUGCGAAAAAUUAGCCAAUACAAGAAGUUUCUUCAAUAUUUCUUGCAUUUCGAAUGCUUAAAAGAUUUUUUAACACAAUCUCCAGGUUUCCGGAAAUGUUUCUUACAAUGGUUUGAGACUAGACGAGUUUGUUCCUGGAAAGACAUCAGCUUAUAUCAGUCAAUAUGAUCUUCAUAUGCCUGAGAUGACUGUCAGGGAAACUCUGGACUUUUCAGCACGAUUUCAGGGCGUUGGAAGCAGAGC